rnacentral:rRNA from 1 species
AACGUAGGUGGCAAGCGUUAUCCGGAAUUACUGGGCGUAAAGCGCGUGUAGGCGGUUGUACAAGUCAGGUGUGAAAGCCUUGAGCUCAACUCAAGAAAUGCACUUGAUACUGGAUGACUAGAGGACCGGAGAGGAUAGUGGAAUUCCCAGUGUAGUGGUGAAAUACGUAGAGAUUGGGAAGAACACCAGUGGCGAAGGCGGCUAUCUGGACGGUUUCUGACGCUAAGACGCGAAAGCGUGGGGAGCAAACAGG